rnacentral:lncRNA from 1 species
GCCAUGUUAGGAGUACUGGGACGAUUCCGCGGAGCCGGGCAGAGGUUUUAGGGGAAUGAUUAACAAAGGCGUCCGAAGAAAUCGUUGUUGGAAGGUGACCAAGGUGGAAAGAGACGUUGCUUUGGCCCUGCAAAGUCUGUCACACUAAGAUGAGAAAUGUCCUUUCUUCCUGAAGGUGUCUGAUGUGUAAAAAUAUGAUAUACUUUGUGCUGUUUCCUCCCUUCCCUUUUGCAUAUUAUUCUGAAACAACAUUAACUAGUUACUUUGCGUCAUUGAAGGUAUGCACUUCCCCUCUAUGUUAGGAGUGAAUAAAAUUAAAAAUAGAUCCUUAUAACAAAGAAAGGCAGAUAGAAUGAUUAAAAAUGACCAAAACAUGUUAGAAACAGUCUCUCAGGUGUAUGCAGAUGGUAAUUACAAAAAUACUUUUUCAAAAAAUGAUCUUCUGUGUCAUGUUUCUGGGAACAAGUCAAGAUGAAUGAGUUUGAUUUUUAAGCAGAAGUAGUAUGUGUUGGUGUCAUCCAUGAAUACAACAAUGAAAAAGGCUCAAAGUUGUUGUUAUUCAGAAACUUCUCUAAGUAAUGGUGGUAAGUACAGGAAAAGGAGCAAUGUCUACCAUUUUCUUUCUAACCUUCGAUUUAACUAUUGUAAUGUUGUAAGCUUAACAGAGACUUACACUUAGGCUUAAUUUCAAGCUCUUCAAUCAUUU